rnacentral:rRNA from 1 species
CCUACGGGAGGCAGCAGUGGGGAAUAUUGGACAAUGGGGGGAACCCUGAUCCAGCCAUGCCGCGUGUGUGAAGAAGGCCCUCGGGUUGUAAAGCACUUUCAGUGAGGAAGAACGCCUGGUGGUUAAUACCCAUCAGGAAAGACAUCACUCACAGAAGAAGCACCGGCUAACUCCGUGCCAGCAGCCGCGGUAAUACGGAGGGUGCGAGCGUUAAUCGGAAUUACUGGGCGUAAAGCGCGCGUAGGUGGCUUGAUAAGCCGGUUGUGAAAGCCCCGGGCUCAACCUGGGAACGGCAUCCGGAACUGUCAAGCUAGAGUGCAGGAGAGGAAGGUAGAAUUCCCGGUGUAGCGGUGAAAUGCGUAGAGAUCGGGAGGCAUACCAGUGGCGAAGGCGGCCUUCUGGACUGACACUGACACUGAGGUGCGAAAGCGUGGGUAGCAAACAGGAUUAGAUACCCUUGUAGUC